rnacentral:lncRNA from 1 species
UUUUACUUUAUCAUUUAUUGCCUUUCUUUUACACUUUCCAUUGUGUAAUGUCCAGCCACUUCAUCUUCUUCGUUGGGAAAAGGUAAGAUCCUCUACCCAUUUCAGUUUCAAUGGUUUCUCUAUCUCAUUAUCUACUUCUCCUCUAUAGUCUAUCAAUGCAUUUCUUUCAUGUUUUAUUUCAUUUUGUGCGUCUCUGUCUUAGUAUCAAGAUUCUCCGUUUUGUCUAAUUUAUAAUUCUCCAAGCUUUCAAUUUGUGGGUAAAUUUUUGCUAGAUUCUUUUCCUUUCCGUUUAAUUUUCUUCUGGUUGCCUUUUUUUUAAAAAAACUUUUGGUACUCCUUUUUGGAUUUCAUUUGUUGCUUUUCAAAUUUCUCACUAGAAAAAGGCAGGGAGAUGAAUAUUAUUUGUCGUUCCUAUGUUUUUCCAAUCAUGCAUGUGUUAAUUUACAGUGACAUAGAGCAAUUUUUGCACUUUUUCUUUGUUACUGGAAUUGUUAGCAAUAAAAAUUAAAGUGAUUUCCUAUAUAUUUUUUCUUUUUUUUUCUCUUGAUUUCUGUAUGCUUUCUGUAAUUUAUGUCUUGCAUGUGUGAGUUCUUUCAGAUGAAUGUCAGAAGUUAAUUUAUAUUGAUUAGCAUCUGCAAAUUUUAUAUUUCUGUCUACUGUUUCAGAAUAAAAUUUAGGACAUCUGGAACUUAUGGCUAUUUCCGUUGAUUACCUACAUUCAUGGCAACUGGAAUUCUUUUUCUGCUGAAUUUUCUUUUAUCUUUACUGUUUAUGAUGAAAUUUAUGCUACACUGAAUAGUUUUCCGCUAUUUUGGUUUUUUAGAUAAAUUUCUGUGGGUUGAUCCAUAGGAAAGCAUGGGUCAAGAGUUAGGAUUUUUUUGUGUACGAUCUUAGGUUUCUCUUAGUUUUUGAUAGCAAUUGGACAAUUGCUUUGCAUUCUCUUUUUUCCAAACAUGCAUAAGAAGUUCUUAUCAAUUCAUCAUUGUAUUAGCAACGGGAGGCCAAGUGAAUUAUACAAUACUUAAUUGGGAUAAAUUUGUGUCUCAUGUGUUCCAAUCCUGUUCAAAAGCUAUUCUUUAGUGUUGCAUGUAUUAGUUUAGUGAUAGAUGAUUCAACAAGUAUGAUUUUUUUCCUUCUAUUUUUUCUUGUUUUUGGUUUUCUUCAAUUGUGAUCAUAUCAUUAAUUUUGUAGUUGGCUUCAGUUUCUGAUCACAUUUUCUUGCUGGAUUUUGGUUUGAUUUGCUGGAUAUUCAGCAAUUUUUGUAUUUUAUUCUAAUGAAUAAGAUUCAAUAUUAUUACGGGAAUGUCAUGAAAAGCAACUAAAGAUUCAGUUUGAGUACAAAUCCAAAUGAAGUAUUACAUUUAAAUUAUACAUAUAUACGCUAGGCGCACUUUUCACUAGCAAUGAAUAGUCAUUGUUUCUCUGUGCCAUAAAUGGGUUUUCAAUCUGAAAACAUGGACUGCUUUUACCUUCAAGUGUAAAUUGAUCAUAAAUUUGAAUGUUGGGAAUCAACUGCUCAAUAUUAUACUUCAAAUUUUCAAAUUGCCACAAACAAUUCGAUAUUUGAGAGUGCCUCUCUACUAUCCUUGGCUCUUCUCGUGUAUCUAUAUUUACAUAAUUGAUUGGUGUUUCCUUGUCUUUUGAAGGUGAUAAACUUCUCCUAUGUUCUGUUCAUCACUAUGUUGCUGUUGUUUCGAGUAUAACAAGAGUAACUUCUGAGCUAGCCAAUGUAGCUGAUACAUAAAAAGGAACGAUGAAUCAGAAUGUGCUUGUGAUGUGCUUUUAGAGAUACAUUUAUUCUAUUAUGUGGGUGUUGCAUCAAUAUUAUUCCUGGUUGUAAUAGGUAUAGAUAGCAGUGUAGUAGAGUGUUUUUACGUCCUCUUUUGCCUUUGUUGUACCACCCUACACUGAUAGAAUAUAAAAGAGAAGUAGAUGAAUGAGAUAGAGAAACCAUUGAAACUGAAGUGGGUAGAGGAUCUUACCUUUUCCCAGCAAAGAAGAUGAAGUGGCUGGACAUUACACAAUGGAAAGUAUAAAAGAAAGAUAAUAAAUGAAAUAGUAAAAAUUUGAGCAAAAAGGACACAUGUGAUCCACUUUCAAUGGGUCUUGUAACAUAAAUAAUGGGUCCAGGUUCUAGAAAUAUCCAUAUAUAAAAUUACCAAAAUACCCUUGGUCAUAGAAGGAACAUUCGCUUAUUAUAUAGUGAAUGUGUACCUAUGCAAAAUAGAUUAAAUGUUGCCCUUAUAAAGUUUCAGCUUUAACAAAAGGCCUAUAUGAAAUGUGUGCAAGUCAGAUGUCUUCUAACAAAAGAAAGAUAGAUGAAGACCUAACUGAUCACAUGACAACAGGCCAUCCAUGUCUUCAUGCCAAAAAUAAUGAAAGAAACCUUAGGCAACGUAUUGCGUAUAGAGAAAUGCCGCCUGAAAAAAGGCAGCACUUCUAGAGCAACGUUGGACUGAAUAUGCUGCGAGAAAAUGCCAUCUUUCUGAAAUUUCUUAUGCCAAACCUUCUGAUCAAAGUCAUUCUUCUUCCAAAUCUCAAAGGAUGAUUCCAGGACAAGCUGCUACCUUCAUCCGAGACAUACCUUCUUCUUCUCGAAAUGGUUGGUUGAAUUGAAUUGUAAUAUUCGAUUAAGUUUCGACGUUUUAGGCUAUCCUUAGAUAGUUAACAUAUUUUGAGGUGUUGCCUGUAUAUUACACGCUCGACAGCAGGGACAUAUAAUGAAAAUGUAACUACUUAUGAUAUUGCAAUGCACCCAAUUGUCCUUCCGUUCUAAAAGGCUUUCCAAAUUGUAAAUUCUGCGGAGCUAGAAGAUUUCAAUAUGAAACUCUUAGCUUUUGUUGUAGUAAUGAUUCAGUAAAAUUAGUUUCACACCGCCUACCUUCUGAGUUAAAUAGCAUUUACUUUGGUGUCAACGAUGAAUCCAAUCAUUUCCGUACUUAUAUUAGAACAUACGACCAUAUGUUCGUAUUUACUUCCCUUGGAGUAAAGUACGAUAAGGAAUUAGCAAAAAGAACUCAAGGUGUCUAUAAAUUUAGAGUUCAAGGACAAAUAUAUUAUUUUAUAAAUGACCUCACAUCCAGAGAUAAACAAAGCCAAAAAUUUGCAGCUUUAUUUUUAUGACAAUGAUGAGGAUAUAGUUAACAAGAUGGCUUUUUCAGAAAAACUUGACAGGUCGGUUUUUGCAAAAUUGAUGAACAUUCUAAAUUUAAUCCAUACUCCAUCUUUUUGAAAUCUUUGACGGACAUUCUGGAUUUAUCUAACUUUUACAUCGCACUUAAGUGUGAUUCUACCUAGCGUAUUAGAAGUCGCAACUAUAUGGGUUUGACGAAGAAUUGGAAUGUUCUUUAUUCUAAUUAGUUACAUACGGUAUACCAUGAAAAAAUCAAGAAAAUAUUCCUCAUAUGUUACUGUUGGGUACGAUAAUCUCUGUUAGCAGCUAUGUUUUACUUUUUUCUCUAUUCAUCGAAUAUUGAAUGGAUUCUUUUGGUGAAUUUUGGUGGUCUUUCUUCGUGUUCUCUAUACGGAUUCGGCAUAUGCAUGUGAGUAAUUGUUCAAACGCCUCUGUGGGAGUCCUCUACUCUAAUGUUGCAGUCUAGGUGUUCGAUGAUAUGACUGAGCAACUUAACAAUUGAUUAUUUGUUGUUGUUGUUGUUUACCUUUUACAUGUAGUUGAUAACAUAUUUGCUUAUUAAAAGGAUUUGUCUUUGAAUUGGUACCUUAAGUUAUAAAAUUACAUGAUUUCAUCAUCUAAUAUAAUUUUCUUUGAAUUUUCCUAUGUUUUCUCGGGCAUUCAUGUGUUCCAACCCAAUUUUAAAAGAACAAAAUUUGGAUAUAUUGAGCUUUUGGAUAACAUUUUUGCGCUGAUGGCUCCUAGAAAAAGGAAAAGAAAACAGUAAUGUAGAAGUUUCUUCCUUCUCAAAUCUCAGGUUGAGUUUCAUGUUAUCUUUUCCCUGUACGUUAUUUACCUUAAUUUUGGUGAGUUUUUCUUUAUUUUGUGUUUUGUUAAUACACUAUGUUAUUGUUAAUGAGAUUUUGUUGGACAUUUUACAGUACUUAUUAGGUAAUUUUGGAUAGUUCUUUUUCGAUUCUACAUGCAUAUGCAUCUUUCUUUCUGAUUUACAUAUUGAUUUCUGAUAGGUGGUCUACAACUUGAAGGUGGUUGUUUCAUUUCGCUGAACUGCAUUAUUAUUUUAAUUAGUUGAGUUAAUAUUUAGGUACAAUUAAUGAAUUAAUAUUCUUUGUUGUUGUUUGUGUGUUGACUUGGUUGAUUGAUGGUUGCAGGUAAAGGAUUUAUUUUUAUUUUUGGGUUAGAUGUGAGAUCAGAUGUGGCAUUUUAUUUGACUGCUGGCUAAAGAACUUGCAAGAAUGUGAGAUUUAUAUUUGUACAAGGUAAUCCCUCAUUUUUACACAAUUACUUUGUAUCUCUAAUUUAUUUUAAUUUGAGCCAAUCGUUGCCAAUGAUAUGGCUCAUUAUACGAUUAUUGUGUAUCUCUUUGCUAUGAAACAUUGAAGCUAAGACUAUUUGUGACAAUGGACUUUCUUUGAGACAAUUCCUCGAAUAGGUGGUGAUUGAAGCUCAGGAGCAAUGGAACUUCAACUCGGUUGAGCACAUGUCUAUCUGCUUCAGACUAUAUUCAUGUAUACGUG